rnacentral:tRNA from 1 species
GGGCUGGUGAUGUAACAGGCAGCAUCGUAGUCCUGCAAACUACUUGUAAGAGUUCGACUCUCUUCCAGUCCA